rfam:Ipomoea nil DNA, scaffold: scaffold0261, cultivar: Tokyo-kokei standard.
AUUGAGAUGGCUGAGUUGCUCUAAGGCGCCAAAUUAAUAUUUUGGUUUAAAAGGUCGUAGGUUCAAAUCUCACUUUAAACA